rnacentral:tRNA from 1 species
GAGGGUACAGCUCAGUGGUAGAGUGUGUGCUUAGCAUGCACGAGGUCCUGGGUUCAAGCCCCAGUCCCUUCA